CAGACCCUACGGGAGGCAGCAGUGAGGAAUAUUGGUCAAUGGCCGGAAGGCUGAACCAGCCAAGUCGCGUGAGGGAAUAAGGCCCUAUGGGUCGUAAACCUCUUUUGUCAGGGAGCAAAGGCGUCCACGAGUGGACGAAAGGAGAGUACCUGAAGAAAAAGCAUCGGCUAACUCCGUGCCAGCAGCCGCGGUAAUACAGAGGAUGCGAGCGUCAUCCGGAUUUAUUGGGUUUAAAGGGUGCGUAGGCGGAGUGUCAAGUCAGCGGUAAAAUUUCGGGGCUCAACCCCGUCGUGCCGUUGAAACUG
rnacentral:rRNA from 1 species